rnacentral:rRNA from 1 species
GACAGAGGAGGCAAGCGUUAUCCGGAAUUAUUGGGCGUAAAGCGUCCGUAGGUGGUUUGACAAGUCUGGGGUUAAAGCCCGGAGCCCAACUCCGGAUCAGCCCUGGAAACUGUCCGACUUGAGUAAGGUAGGGGCUGCGGGAAUUCCCGGUGUAGCGGUGAAAUGCGUAGAUAUCGGGAGGAACUCCAGCGGCGAAAGCGCGCAACUGGGCCAUUACUGACACUGAGGGACGAAAGCUAGGGGAGCGAAUGGG